rnacentral:rRNA from 1 species
GAUGAACGCUGGCGGCGUGCCUAAUACAUGCAAGUCGAGCGAACAGACGAGGAGCUUGCUCCUCUGACGUUAGCGGCGGAAGGGUGAGUAACACGUGGAUAACCUACCUAUACGACUGGGAUAACUUCGGGAAACCGGAGCUAAUACCGGAUAAUAUAUUGAACCGCAUGGUUCAAUAGUGAAAGACGGUUUUGCUGUCACUUAUAGAUGGAUCCGCGCCGCAUUAGCUAGUUGGUAAGGUAACGGCUUACCAAGGCGACGAUGCGUAGCCGACCUGUGGGGGGGAUCGGCCACACGGGAACUGAGACACGGUCCAGACCCCUACGGGAGGCAGCGGUAGGGAAUCUUCCGCAAUGGGCGAAAGCCUGACGGAGCAACGCCGCGUGAGUGAUGAAGGUCUUCGGAUCGUAAAACUCUGUUAUAAGGGAAGAACAAAUGUGUAAGUAACUAUGCACGUCUUGACGGUACCUAAUCAGAAAGCCACGGCUAACUACGUG